rnacentral:lncRNA from 1 species
CCUGGAGAUUUUCUCCUGGACCACAACCACAUAUACAUUUCAAAGGCUUCUAAUCUCAACUGAGCACUAGAAGAAGAGGCUAACAGCAAACUGGGGAGUACAAUGGCACUGAAAUUUAACCCGCUGCUCCAGAGCCCAAACCUGCAUGAGCCUCUCUAGCCGUUGGUCCAGAUGUGUAUUGCAGAGGGGUUGUUAACCAGAGAACUGUGUUAUCUCAGUAUGAAGAUGCCCACUGUAGCUCACUAGAGCAUGCAGUGACACUAGCAUCUACCCGUUGCUUCAGCUAGCUGGAGUGGAUGAAGUGUAACCACUGGGAUUGCCCUGACUGACCCGGUGUGAUGGAUUGCAUAACACUGAGAUGGGAGAAAUCGCUUCCAAAAGCUUGGUACCUUUGUACUAUGUUCUGCUGCAUCCCUACUGGUUGCAACAGCCACUUGCUUGCAGUAUUUGUCUUUUCGUAUGAAAUGGGUUCCCUUCUGUUUAGCCCAGGACUAGGCUUGCUCUUCAGCAGAGAGAACUUUGCUAAUCCUGCUUAAAUCCUCUCUAAAGCUAUUCUGCUGCAGAAAUCAGAAGAAAUGUUUUGCAGCUGUUAAAGGAUCAGUGAUAUAUGUGGCCAGGCAGCAUGCUCAGGCUACUGGAGAAGAGCAAGGUGCUGCCCGAGGCAGAAGGAGAAGUGUCCCAGUGACUGGGGAAGGAGCAGCUGCGGGCAGAAUGGCAUGGUGAUGGGCUUUGAUGAGUCUCUCAGACUACAAAGGAAUCUGGAAGGAUUUGAUAGCUGAGCCUUUUCUUGUCGCAAGAACAAAGGUUGUGUCAUCUCCCGAAAGCCACCAGGAGCAGAGAUGGGCAGGGCGAGCAAGCCCAGGCUGGGGCUCUGCUGCGCGGCUGCUGGAAAUGGGGUCUUCAAGGAAAAAGGGUAAGGAAACCCAGGCUUAUAAGGAAAAGAAAGUGAUGUGCCUGGGGGUGAGGAUGCCCCCAGCCUUUUUGGGUUAUAUGUUUUGGAGUCAAAAAUCCUCUGAGCUGUGUGGGAGGGAGCAAUAUGGAAGAGACCCUCCUGGUGCUCAGGGCUCAUGUCAAGUUGGACAACCAGAAACCUUCAGGAGUCUUGGUUUUUGA